AUUCUAGAAAUUGAAUAUUUUCUUUAUAUUAAAAGAAUUGAUCUCAUCCGCAUGCUAGUGUCAUCUUAAAUUAAUUACUCUCUCGAAGAAGAAAGGUUGUGGGCCUUCGAGCUGCCCUUGCACAGCUACCCCAUGCUCAUCACGGCCCGUUUCGUAUUUUAGAUUAAGAACCUGGACCUGUCAUGAAAAGAAAAGGCCCAAUCAAUAUUUCAUCCCAGUAAAAGAAAAGAAAAGAAAAACCAAGGGGGAAGCCACCAAAAGGGAGGCUUGGGUGUAGAGGUCCUGGGAGUCUGGGACUGUGGUUACCAAUCCAGCAGUGAGGUGUAAGAAACCAUUGCUUCACUUUUAUCAUCAUCUCCUCCAACUGCGGCAACACUUGCAACUUCAGUUUCUCUCUUCUCCGCCUCCUACCAUCCAGGCAACUAUUUCUUAAAUUCUCCUCUUUUCUUCUUGCUUGCUUGCUUUAAUUAUACCAAAAUUUGCAGAUUGUCGGUGGAAAAAAAGACUCCAAGUUGGCAACGAAGUGGAAAUUGCAAUUUUAAUGGUGUAUAUGUCGGAGGAGAGGCUGAUUGGAUUGAUUUUGAAACUGAUCUUUACCAUUGGACCGAAGCACUGCGUCCUGUUCAGGUCAUAUUGCAAGAACGGAAAAAGAACUCAGAGGGCAACUCAAGAUUAUGGAUGUUGUCAUUGAAGUUCGAGAUGCCAGAAUUCCCUUUGUCCACCAGCCAUCCACAGAUUUUUUGAAAAGCCUCCAGUUCACUUGUUCAAUGGGGGACAGCCAUUAAGCAGCUUUUCGCAUCUUGCAUGAUUUUCGAAAAGGGAAGUUCGGUUGGGUAGCCCUGGAGAGGCCUCCCAGGUGAUGGUAAUGGUUAGGCUUGGUAGCUUUGUUUUUAAUAUCAACUGAUACUUUCAGCCUAUGGCCAAUGCCUGGAGAGUGCCGAAAAGUGGCAUGAACAGAAGUCGGAUAUUGAUCUUGACUGUAAAAUGUAAACCCCUUCGGCGGAAAUCAAAUAGCACAGCUCAGAAUAUUUGGCAAAGAUAAAAACUGGAGGUGUCUAGAAAAGGAAAAAUAUCCUGCCUUUGAUGUAAUCUACUGGGUUAUGUCUAUUCUUAGAAAUUGGCGUCUGCAAGAGAACUUGCUACGUAAACCCUUUUGCAACAGUUGAGCAUCAAAAUUAGAAACAGCAGGGCCUGUAAAUCACAACCUGAUUAAAAGGCUUACCAAGUAGCUCCCAAAACGCAGCAGUAGUUUGUAAUAAUUUCUAGUUUUUGGAUUUCCAAUCUAAAAAGGUCAUUUGCUCGAGCUUGACCACAUGCCAGUUAAUGCAAUUGCAUCUCUGUUUACAUUUCUACGUGUUUUUCAUUAACUGAUUUGCAUUCUCCGGUUGAAAAGUUGAGAGGCUGCUCCGGGAGCCUUGAUGGUGGGCUGAUGACACGGUGCUCACCAUUUUCCGAGGCAGGCUAGCUGACAUGCUGCUGCUUCAGGGUCUGCAGCUUGGUGCUCCAGGUAAAUAAAGAAAAAUCCCCCAAGCAUAGUUGGGGGCCUCGAGCUUCAUGAUACAGGUGAUGUUUUGAUCUUCACGUUGCGAAUCACAAUUAUUUUUCUGAUAAAGCUGGCAAAAAGAAAUUGCUAUGCUCAAAGCUAACCCCAAACCUAAUGUUAACAAACCAUCCAACCUCAUCAAGAUAAAAAAUCACAGGAUUCAGCAACUAUUCAUCUCAUUCUAGCUUUCCUAUAUAGUAAAAUAAAAUCCAGCAUUCUAAAUAAGCAAAGGAAAGAAACAUUACAAACCAAACAUGCGGACAUGAAAUUGCUCUCU